rnacentral:misc_RNA from 1 species
UACGGAGGAGCCAAGUGUUAUCCGGAACCAUUGGGCUUAAAGGGUCCGUAGGCGGGACAAUAAGUCAGUGGUGAAAGUCUGCAGCUUAACUGUAGAACUGCCAUUGAUACUGUUGUCCUUGAGUAAUUAUGAAGUGGUUAGAAUAUGUAGUGUAGCGGUGAAAUGCAUAGAUAUUACAUAGAAUACCGAUUGCGAAGGCAGAUCACUAAUAAUAUAUUGACGCUGAUGGACGAAAGCGUAGGUAGCGAACAGG